CUAAGUUUUUUGAAACACAUUCAUCAAGGCUGAAAAAAAUGUAAAUUGAUAUGAUACAUUUUAAACUUUUCAUAAAGUAAGAAAAGACUCGACGUUGCCAAGAAGGUUUGUGUUUAUAUUGUAAAGAAGCUAAGUAUACUACUCAACAUUGUCCAAAGAAGCAACACAAUUAUAAAAUGAGGAGUUUAAUUAUCAAAGAAGAUAAGGUGUAAGAAAACAAGUUUUUCCACCUACAAUAG
rnacentral:lncRNA from 1 species